GAGAAAUCCGACAAACCCAACGGCUCUUUUAAGAGCCACACACAAUCUCACAUAAAGAGUUAAUAGCUGUGUCCGAAACCGCCCCUUAUCCACUAUAUAGUGCACUAUAUCGGGUGUCGGCCAUUUUGUAGUGGUGUCCGAAUUCAUUCACUACGUCUCGUUCACUAUAUCUGUUAACUCAUUCUCGCCCACAAUGCAAUCUGAUUUCCAGGGUCUAUAUGAUGUACAUUCUCUGAUCCCUUUUUCCCAUAAUUCAACGCGGAGACCGCGGCAGAGUGCAAACAAAAAACAAAUUGCAAAUUGCAAAUGGCGGGCGCAAACACCGGAGGUGGCAACUUUUACAAAUGGAGGGGUGAAGACGUAACGUGUCUCAUAAUGAGCAGGAUGGCCAAUGGUCAUCUCUUCUCUGGGCGCAGGAACGCAGCCCGGUUUGGAUAGGAAACUGAACUGAAGGAGAUGGAUGCUUGGUGUGGUAACCCCUGCCAAAAAGUGGGAAAAAUUGAAGAAAACCUACAAGUGCAGGUGAAUGAUGACCAAAUCUUUUAGCUCCAAAAAGGACAUAAAGGCAGCAUUAAGGAGCUAAGGAAGCCACCCACUCUCCUCAUGGACUGCACCAGAUUUGCCAGUUCUUGCUGUGAGAUGUUACCCCACUCUUCCAAGGCACUUGCAAGUUCCCGGACAUUUCUGGGGGGAAUGACCCUAGCCCUCACCCUCCGAUCCAACAGGUCCCAGACGUGCUCAAUGGGAUUGAGAUCCGGGCUUUUUGCUGGCCAUGGCAGAACACUGACAUUCCUGUCUUGCAGGAAAUCACGCACAGAACGAGCAGUAUGGCUGGUGGCAUUGUCAUGCUGGAGGGUCAUGUCAGGAUGAGCCUGCAGGAAGGGUACCACAUGAGGGAGGAGGAUGUCUUCCCUGUAACGCAUAGCGUUGAGAUUGCCUGCAAUGACGACAAACUCAGUCCAAUGAUACUGUGACACACCACCCCAGACCAUGACGGACCCUCCAACUCCAAAUCGAUUCCGCUCCAGAGUACAGGCCUCGGUGUAACGUUCAUUCCUUCGACGAUAAACGCGAGUCCAACUAUCUCCUCUGGUGAGACAAAACCGCGACUCGUCGGUGAAGAGCACUUUUUGCCAGUCCUGUCUGGUCCAGUGAAGGUAGGUUUGUGCUCAUAGGUGACAUUGUUGCCGGUGAUAUCUGGUAAGGACCUGCCUUACAACAGGCAUAGAAGCCCUCAGUCCAGCCUCUCUCAGCCUAUUGCAGACAGUCUGAGCACUGAUGGAGGGAUUGUGCGUUCCUGGUGUAACUCGGGCAGUUGUUGUUGCCAUCCUGUACCUGUCCUGCAGGUGUGAUAUUCAGAUGUACCGAUCCUGUGCAGGUGUUGUUACACGUGGUCUGCCACUGCGAGGAUGAUCAGCUGUCCUUCCUGUCUCCCUGUAGUGUUGUCUUGGGUGUCUCACAGUAUGGACAUUGCAAUUUAUUGCCCUUCCCACAUCUGCAGUCCUCAUGCCUCCAUGCAGCAUGCCUAUGGCACGUUCACGCAGAUGAGCAGGGACCCUGGGCAUCUUUCUUUUGGUGUUUUUCAGAGUCAGUAGAAAGGUCUCUUUGGUGUCCUAAGUUUUUAUAACUGUGACCUUAAUUGCCUACUGUCUGUAAGCUGUUAGUGUCUUAACUACCGUUCCACAGGUGCAUGUUCAUUAAUUGUUUAUGGUUCAUUGAACAAGCAUGGAAAACAUUGUUUAAACCCUUUAUAAAAAAGAUCUGUGAAGUUAUUUGGAUUUUUACAAAAUUAUAUUUAAAAUACAGUGUCCUGAAAAAAGGAUGUUUUUUUUUUUUUUUUUUGCUGAGUAAACGCAAGAUACACAAAUGAUCCACUGACCAUGAUGAUCAGUGUAUUAUUAACAUCAUCUUUGAACACUAUCUUUUAUUAGUUUCUUAUGUAGACAAAAUACAUUCAACUGUAAACUAAAAACUGAAGUUUAAGUUUAAAUAUCCUGUUAGAAAUUUUACAGGAGUUCAAUGGAUCUCAUCAGUUAUUUAGUUUACAGCUAAAUGUAUAAUGUCUUAUUACCGAUCUGUGGCAUCGAAGAGCUCAAAGUUGUCGCUCUUUGUGUAAUAUGCCUUUUUAUUCUCCCCUAGGAACAUAAAAUUCACCAGAACCAAAACCAACAAGAUGGAGUACAUUUUUGAGCCAAGUUUGCCUCCAGACUCGGGUGGAGGACACCGACAAGAAGAUCACCGCGAAAAUGUGUGCUUGUGUUAGUUUUUGUUGGUAGUUUACUUUUCCACAAUUUGUUUUAAUAUAUAUAUAUAUAUAUAUAUAUAUAAUUAGUCAGUAGCGUUUUCAUUCUUUUUUAUCUUUAAUGACAAACAGUUAUAUUAACUUUUAAUGAAAAAAAAAAAACAUGACAAGUUGAAGUAUUUCCUCUUUAUCAUUAUUGUAAUAAUCAGAACAAAUGAACAGUUGUGAAAAGAUUAAUUGUAUUAUGAUUUUUUUCUCUUUUUUUAAUAAUGCAAAAAUAAAACAAUGGCGGAGGUAUGCACAGUAAAACAUUUAAUUGCAUAUUAUAAAUGUAUAUAUAAUCUACAUAAAGAUGACAAAAUUAAUGAAGCCACACAGGCGAAAUGUUCAUGACGAAAUGUCUGCGACACCUCCCGAGUGUUCUCUGACGCACUGAAUUUACGUCAGCGUCUGAAAUCGCUCACUCAUUUCGUUCACUCACUGCUGAAAUAUAGUGCACUCACUGCCAUUCACUAUAUAGGAAAUAGUGAACGAGUGGCGAUUUCAGGCACAGCUAAUGUCU